AGUGAACGCUGGCGGUAGGCCUAACACAUGCAAGUCGAACGGCAGCACAGUAAGAGCUUGCUCUUACGGGUGGCGAGUGGCGGACGGGUGAGGAAUACAUCGGAAUCUACUUUUUCGUGGGGGAUAACGUAGGGAAACUUACGCUAAUACCGCAUACGGCCUACGGGUGAAAGCAUGGGAUCUUCGGACCUUGCGCGAUUGAAUGAGCCGAUGUCGGAUUAGCUAGUUGGCGGGGUAAAGGCCCACCAAGGCGACGAUCCGUAGCUGGUCUGAGAGGAUGAUCAGCCACACUGGAACUGAGACACGGUCCAGACUCCUACGGGAGGCGGCAGUGGGGAAUAUUGGACAAUGGGCGCAAGCCUGAUCCAGCCAUACCGCGUGGGUGAAGAAGGCCUUCGGGUUGUAAAGCCCUUUUGUUGGGAAAGAAAAGCAGCAGGUUAAUACCCCGCUGUUCUGACGGUACCCAAAGAAUAAGCACCGGCUAACUUCGUG
rnacentral:rRNA from 1 species